rnacentral:rRNA from 1 species
AUUGAACGCUGGCGGCAGGCUUAACACAUGCAAGUCGAGCGGAGAGAGGUAGCUUGCUACCGAUCUUAGCGGCGGACGGGUGAGUAAUGCUUAGGAAUCUGCCUAUUAGUGGGGGACAACAUUUCGAAAGGAAUGCUAAUACCGCAUACGUCCUACGGGAGAAAGCAGGGGAUCUUCGGACCUUGCGCUAAUAGAUGAGCCUAAGUCGGAUUAGCUAGUUGGUGGGGUAAAGGCCUACCAAGGCGACGAUCUGUAGCGGGUCUGAGAGGAUGAUCCGCCACACUGGGACUGAGACACGGCCCAGACUCCUACGGGAGGCAGCAGUGGGGAAUAUUGGACAAUGGGCGGAAGCCUGAUCCAGCCAUGCCGCGUGUGUGAAGAAGGCCUUAUGGUUGUAAAGCACUUUUAAGCGAGGAGGAGGCUACUUUAGUUAAUACCUAGAGAUAGUGGACGUUACUCGCAGAAUAAGCACCGGCUAACU